GGAAAUACCUGGGGAAGCGGGA
rnacentral:piRNA from 1 species